UGGGGAAUUUUGGACAAUGGGGGAAACCCUGAUCCAGCCAUGCCGCGUGAGUGAAGAAGGCCUUCGGGUUGUAAAGCUCUUUCAGCCGGAACGAAAAGGUUACGGUUAAUACCCGUGACUAAUGACGGUACCGGAAGAAGAAGCGCCGGGCUCAGU
rnacentral:rRNA from 1 species